GACGAACGCUGGCGGCGUGCUUAACACAUGCAAGUCGAACGGAAAGGCCCUGCUUUUGUGGUGUGCUCGAGUGGCGAACGGGUGAGUAACACGUGAGUAACCUGCCCUUGACUUUGGUAUACCUUCAGGAAACUGGGGCUAAUACCGUAUAGGAGCUCCUGCUGCAAGGUGGUGGUUUGAAAGUUUCGGCGGUUGGGGAUUGACUCGUGGCUUAUCAGCUUGUUGGUGGGGUAGUGGCUUACCAAGGUUUUGACGGGUAGCCGGCCUGAGAUGGUGACCGGCAAAGUUGGGACUGAGAUACGGCCCAGAAUGUGACGGGAGGCAGGAGUGGGGAAUAUGGCACAAUGAGCGGAAGCCUGAUGGAGGAACGCCGCAUGCGGGAUGACGGCCUUCGGGUUGUAAACCGCUUUCGCCUGUGACGAAGCGUGAGUGACGGUAAUGGGUAAAGAAGCACCGGCUAACUACGUG
rnacentral:rRNA from 1 species